CCCUACACCAACUCCUCUUCCUCCCUGACAGACCGAGUUUCAAUCAGAAGCUACAGGACAGACAUUAGCAUGUCAGACUUUGAGAACUCCAGGGAAUUUGGAGCCAAUGACAACAUGGGAGCCUCUUCGAUCACUCAGGAGACAUCCCUUGGAGGAAAAGAUGAGUUUGUUGCCACCACUGAGAGCACCACAGAGACCAGAGAACCCAAGAAGGCAAAAAGGGUGAGGAGGAAGAAGGAAGCCCCACUAUGUGACAAGGAAAUGCAGCAUGAGGGGCUGCAGUUA
rnacentral:sRNA from 1 species